GGCCUUUUAUUUCCUGGUGUUUCUUCUUCUUUUCUUUUUUUUCCCCCUCACCUGCUGCAGACGCAAAACAAAAGAUGCACAGACGCCUUCAGUCAAUAUGCAUUUUUGAUUUAUUUUUUUGUAGGAAAAUAGGCCCUUUUUCACAUGCAAAUGUAUUCAUCAAAGAAUAUGAAAAAAAUCUUUGCCAGGGGAUACCAGAAUGGCACUCAAAGAAACGUACAUUUUACAAAAAGGCAUAGAAAAACACACAAACACACAAAUGCAUGUAUGAAUCAGAGUUUGUAUUGGUAAUAUCACUGGUUUUAUUGUCACGUCCCACACGGGCGACUAUAAGAAACAUGUAGGGGAACAAUACGGCCUCACUAUUCCUUCUUCUAAGUGGACAGACAGAUGCUGAGGAUGGAAAUUGUGGAAUCCCUGAUGAAUAGACCCACAAAAGAUUUCAUCUGCUACAACCGGUUUUCAUUCUCCCACUGUGUUAAUGUACAGUACAGAGAUAAAUCACAAAGGAAUAAUUGUCUUUCUAAGCAUCACUCCACCCUUAAGUGCCGAUAACGCUAAUCCUGCUGUUGCCUCACACCUAACUCAUAAUUCUUUAAGCUGCCGAGUUCAGUGGAGAAUUAAAUGGCUUUCAGCUCCUAAGUGGGUCUCCACCCGAAGAUGUGCUCAGAUGCAUUUUGUCUCCGUCAAAUGAAACAUGUCUCCAAGUUUGGUGCAAACGUUGAGCAAAAGUGCCAAAAAUUGUUUAAAAAGGCCAAAAGAAUUGAAGCUUGUUCAUGGAAUUUGCAGCAACUUAUGCAAAUAUUGAAGGUUUCCUGUUAGAAACCGGGACAGACAUGCAGAUAAAACACAAAUGUUUGUUAUGGAUUGAGGAAAUUUCAACCUAAUAUGCAAUCGCUGGUGAAAAAAGGUUGAAAAAUGGUUAAAAAAUCAUAAAAGGAUGGAAGCGUAUUUUGUGGAAUUUGCACCAUCGUGCACAAUAAUGAAAAAUUCUGUUAGAAACCAGCACAGACAUUCAGCUAAAACCUGCAGGACUAUUUUGUUUUUGACAUUUUCUACCUAAUAUGCAAACCUUGGUGGUGCAAACGUUUAGCAAAACUGCAGAAAAUGGAAAAAGAAAAAAUAUAUCAAAAAGAAUUGAAGGAUAUCUGUGGAAAUUGCAGCAACUUAUGCAAAUAAUACAGAUUCCUGUUCAAAACCAUUACAGACAUGAAGCUAAAACAUACAGCACACUUACAUGUUGAGAAAUGUUCUUCCUUAUACCCAAAUAUUGGUGCAAACAUUCAGCAAAAGGGCCGAAAAUAUAAAAAAAAAAAAAUCCAAAUGAAUUGAAGCGUAUUCAUGGGAUUUGCAGCAGUUUGCAUAAAAAUGAAAGACUCCUGUUCAAAACCAGGACAGACAUGCAGGUAAGACCUGCAGACUGCUGCUUACACAAAUAAUAGAGAUUCCUGUUAGAAACCAGCACAGACAUGUAGCUAACGCUUGAAUGUUUGCUAUGGGUUGAGAAAUUUUCCACCUAAUAUGCAAACAUUGGUGCAAACAAUGAGCAAAGGUGUUGAAGCUGUUAAAAAAUGUAAACGGAUGGAAGUGUAUUCAUGGAAUUUGCAGCAUAAAAACUGAUGAUCCCUGUUCAAAACUAGGACAGACAUGCAGCUAAAACUUGAAUGUUUGCUUUGUGUUGAGAAAUUUUCCACUUAACAUGCAAAUGGACGUGCAAAUAAUGAGCAAAAGUGUUGACGAAAAGUUUAAAAAUCAAAAAGAUUUGAAGCUUAUAUGUGGAAUUUGCAGCAGCAUGCACAAAUAAUGAACGAUUCCGUUAGAAACCAGCACAGACGUGGAGCUAAAACCUGCAGUACCCCACCCUCUUUCGUUUCUUGCAAAUGCAAAAGCUCAAAACGUGUGUUGACAGAUUUAUAUGUGACUACAGGCACCUCGGUUUGACCCACAUCCUUCAGGUGCUUCUUUAAAAAGCCCAAACUUUUUUUGGAGACACGUGGUUCUCACAAGACGGCGACAAAACGCAGAGGGGCCUAAUAAAAGCAGUCGUAAAAGCUAUUUUGCUUGUUCCCUUCCUUUGUCAGUCGCUCAAUAGAGAACAGAAAGCAGGGCAGAGACAGACACAAAACCGUGCUACGGGCCAAUUCUCCUGACCUGGAUAGCUGCCCAGAUUCCUAAAACUUUCUCCUAAAAACAGCAGCCUAGAUUGGGUUUGAAGAUGUAAGGCCAAGCUGCCAGUCAUGCAGACAGGAGCAGAUGGGGUCUUUCAGUCCCCUCAUGGCAAUGACCCCAAAACGCACUUCUUAGUUCCGUUCUUUAACAGAAAGUCGCCCUCUUGUGGCCCCAGCUGGAGCAUCUGUGCAUCACCGGCUGCCUGCAAUCCAUUUAUACUGACGUCUGUUUGCUUCUCUUGAAAUAGUUUAGUUGGGUAACUUUGCUUACUGGGGAGAAUUUAAUGAGGGUUGACUGGCAGUGAUUGGGAAACUCUCAGUAAAUCACCUGCAGCUCUUUGGGAUCAGAGUCGCUGUAAGUCGCUGCUCAGACUGAACUACUUGUGGUGAUUUAUGUCUGUGUGAAGCUGGCUGAGGUUGUUCAACAGACAUGUGGAGCCCAGCGAUGAACAAACCGACCAGAGGGAGUGUUCCUGUUCAUGCACAAUACAUAUACACUGUAAAAAGAAAAAAAAAAA
ensembl:lncRNA